rnacentral:rRNA from 1 species
UGGGGAAUAUUGGACAAUGGGCGAAAGCCUGAUCCAGCAAUGCCGCGUGUGCGAUGAAGGCCUUAGGGUUGUAAAGCACUUUCAGUAGUGAGGAAAAGCACGAUAUUAAUACCAUCAGUGCCUUGACGUUAGCUACAGAAGAAGCACCGGCUAACUCUGUGCCAGCAGCCGCGGUAAUACAGAGGGUGCAAGCGUUAAUCGGAAUUACUGGGCGUAAAGCGCGUGUAGGUGGAAAUUUAAGUCAGAUGUGAAAGCCUUAGGCUUAACCUAAGAACGGCAUUUGAUACUGAAUAUCUAGAGUAUGGUAGAGGAAAGUAGAAUUUCCGGUGUAGCGGUGGAAUGCGUAGAUAUCGGAAGGAAUACCAGUGGCGAAGGCGGCUUUCUGGACCAAUACUGACGCUGAGACGCGAAAGCGUGGGGAGCAAACAGG